CCCCCUGCUUAAUUGUGACAAGUGGAAACACAGCUGAACUGAUCCAAAGCCUGCCCACAGAGUGAGGUGGAAGGGUCAGAAAGCGGCUGUUUAUCUCUCCUCGCACACAUGAAGAAACAGCCCCGGGAGGUGAAGCAACCCGUCGAAGAAAACCCACAUAGGAUCUAGGUGUCCUGGGGCUCCUGGCCUUAUGAGGUGUCAGAGAAGCCCUCUGAGGUCGAAUUUGCUAGAGAUCAUGCCCCGCCCCCCAGAAACAGACCCAUCUCCCAUCUUCAUCCAAAGCUGUCCAUGCAAUUUCAGGGAGUCCAGACACAUCCUCUGUCCCUGGUUAUGAGCUCUAGAGCUCAAGAAUACCCCAAGAGCCAAUGUUUCUUGACUGGAACCCACCUCCA